UACGAAGGGGGCUAGCGUUGCUCGGAAUUACUGGGCGUAAAGCGCGUGUAGGCGGCCCUGUAAGUCGGGUGUGAAAUCCCACGGCUCAACCGUGGAAGUGCAUUCGAAACUACAGGGCUAGAGUUCUGGAGAGGAAGGUGGAAUGCUUGGUGUAGAGGUGAAAUUCGUAGAUAUCAAGCGGAACACCGGUGGCGAAGGCGGCCUUCUGGACAGUAACUGACGCUGAGACGCGAAAGCGUGGGGAGCAAACAGG
rnacentral:rRNA from 1 species